rnacentral:rRNA from 1 species
CUUACGGGAGGCAGCAGUGGGGAAUUUUGGACAAUGGGCGAAAGCCUGAUCCAGCAAUGCCGCGUGAGUGAAGAAGGCCUUCGGGUUGCAAAGCUCUUUUGUCAGGGAAGAAACGGUGAAAGCUAAUAUCUUUUGCUAAUGACGGUACCUGAAGAAUAAGCACCGGCUAACUACGUGCCAGCAGCCGCGGUAAUACGUAGGGUGCAAGCGUUAAUCGGAAUUACUGGGCGUAAAGCGUGCGCAGGCGGUUUUGUAAGUCUGAUGUGAAAUCCCCGGGCUCAACCUGGGAAUUGCAUUGGAGACUGCAAGGCUAGAAUCUGGCAGAGGGGGGUAGAAUUCCACGUGUAGCAGUGAAAUGCGUAGAUAUGUGGAGGAACACCGAUGGCGAAGGCAGCCCCCUGGGUCAAGAUUGACGCUCAUGCGCGAAAGCGUGGGGAGCAAACAGGAUUAGAUACCCUGGUAGUCCACGCCCUAAACGAUGUCUACUAGUUGUCGGGUCUUAAUUGACUUGGUAACGCAGCUAACGCGUGAAGUAGACCGCCUGGGGAGUACGGUCGCAAGAUUAAAACGUCAAAGGAAUUGACGG